UCUUUCGACAGCCUAUGAGGCGUCUACCUCAACAGGGCUGUCUACCUUUAUAUGUCUAUGCUGUUAAACACCGUUUUUGGGGCUCCGGAUAGUGAAGCUAAUGCUAGCAGUGCAUGGUGACUGGUGGCUUCAACCAGGAGCAUUUCUUCUAAAUCGCUGUGGCUGCAGAACAGCUGCAGACGGGUGGUGUCUGAGCGCUGCAUGCACACUCACAGACUUAGUACUUACUGCUGUUAUGGCAAAGAAAAUGACUAAACGGCAUAUAAAAACAGCUCUCCCAUGGAUAGGGAACGGCAGGCAUAGGUGGUGUGGUCUGUGGAAAUUGUUUUUGUGGUCUGUGGAAACAAUGUGAGAUAAUGUAUGUCAGAUUUGCAUGACCUAUUAUUAAAAUGUACACAGGCUUGAAAUAUUUUACUGCCCAUCCAAGUAAAAUAGAAUAUAUAAAGGUAUAAUUUUUAACCAAAUUAUUAAACUAAUGAACUUUUCAAAAUAUUAUUAUUUAUUGAGAUUCACUAGUAGAUUUUUAAUCCACUUGUUAUAUAGUAAUAUUUUUUAUCACUUGUUUCUUUGCAUUGAAAUCCUUUUUGAUGUUCUUGUGGCUUCUUCAGAAGACCUUCGGAUCAGAGAAAUACAACCCAGAAGCUCUGUGUCAACAUCAGGUGCAGCAAUUUAUAUCCUGAAGUAAAUCAACCAGAUGGGAUGGCCCUGUAAAUUAUAGUAUUAGUUACAUGAUGGCCAAAACAUACAGCUACAGAAGAAUGGAAGUGGUUGUGCAGUCCCCAGGAGUGGCAGAAUUUAAAGAAAGGUGGCCUCCCCUCUUCGAACCAUUCCAGAUCUGUGAGGAGUUUUGUAGGUGCACUGCAGUUCCACUACAGUCAACAUUGAUGUCCCAGCUGGACAGGUACACUGCAAAGCUCCUGCAGCUGUUCGAUGCAAUGGGAGGAGCAGAGGGUCAGCACAUCAAGAACAUGCUGAUGGAACUGAUACAGGGAACAACAGAGACAAAUAUACACGAGGAACUGAAAACUCAAAUGUUGAGAAUCUACACUUGCUAGAUGCUGCUGAUAUUCUCAUCGAGGAUGUCCCAGUGCUUCCUGGUCUUGAAACUCCAGCAAGAGUAUGCUGCCUACUCCUCGGAUUAACAUAUGUCCUAAAUCUGGAAUAUACACCCAAACUCUGACAUUUGAUGUCUUCUAAAGACUUUGUUGGACUAGACUUGCUGCGGCCAAAACCAACAGCAAGCUUCUUGCCUAAGCUGGUCCAACAGUUUUAGCUCCUGUUCAACAACGUCAUACCUGGGUUUCAAAGACAGCUGUGGAGCUCAAUGGAGAGCACCCACCAACAAGUCAAUCGUUCUUUUGUUAAUUGUCCUUGUAGGCAGGUGUAGGUGGAGUUUAUGACAAAUGUUUUCACUGUGAAGAUUUUAUCAGCUGCAGGUCAGAAUUUGUAUUCUGUAAAUUGUUUAAGUGUUCUAAUAUGAGUCUUAAAAUCAAAAACUUUGUUUUGUUAUCAUACCCUUGGACAUAUGUACAUAUGCUAAAACACUGUUCUGUUCAGCACUUGAAGAUCGGGUCACAGUUUAUUUUGAUCUAUUUCAGUUUUUAAAACGGAAAUUGUAUUUAAACAGUUAAGAAGUUGAAGAAAAUGCUUUUGAUUAAUAAAUGUUGGACACAAAUA